AAGGGUGCCGCUGGUAUGGAGUAUGGAAGCGGCGGGGGUGGAGGCGGUGGGGGCCGUGGGGGUGUCCAACCACCCUCUGCAGGUGCGAGGGGUAUGGCGGGAACAGACACUACUGAUGCUGCAUGGCACAAACACGAACAAAUGAUCCUUAUGGAAUCCAGGCAUAAGCAACAACUAAGCGGAAGAACGGGUGCAGGUGGAGGUGGUGGUGGAGGCGGUGGUGCGCCUCUUUACGGUCGUCUAGUAGCUGAGGAGCCAUUACCUCCCACAGUAUGUGGGGGUACCGGUACUGGUGGCGGUACCGGUGGGGUCCCACAAGAAACCCCCGCGGAUAUACACGCCAUGCAAGCCAGGAUACCCCAUAGGUUUCGUGAUCCAGCCACAGCACCUCUUAGGAAACUUAGUGUAGAUCUCAUCAAAACUUACAAGCACAUCAACGAGGUUUAUUAUGCUAAGAAAAAAAGGAGGGCGCAACAGAUGCAAGGAGAAGAUGGUUCCCAUAAAAAAGAAAGAAAAUUGUACAACGAUGGUUGGGAUGACGAUAAUCAUGAUUAUAUUAUCAAAAAUGGGGAAAAGUUCCUCGAUCGUUAUGAGAUCGAUUCGCUAAUAGGUAAAGGUAGUUUUGGCCAAGUAGUAAAAGCGUUUGAUCAUGAAGAACAAACGCAAGUGGCAAUAAAAAUUAUCAAGAACAAAAAACCUUUUCUAAAUCAAGCGCAAAUCGAAGUGAGGCUAUUAGAAAUGAUGAACAGGGCGGAUACCGACAACAAAUAUUAUAUAGUUAAACUAAAAAGGCAUUUUAUGUGGCGAAAUCAUUUAUGUCUGGUAUUCGAACUGUUAUCAUAUAAUCUGUAUGAUCUACUUAGAAAUACAAAUUUUCGAGGAGUGUCAUUGAAUUUAACAAGGAAGUUUGCACAGCAACUGUGUACUGCCCUUUUGUUCCUGUCUACACCGGAAUUGAACAUCAUUCACUGUGAUCUGAAACCUGAAAACAUACUUUUGUGCAAUCCCAAACGAAGUGCGAUAAAAAUAGUAGAUUUUGGUAGUUCGUGUCAACUUGGACAAAGAAUAUAUCAGUAUAUUCAAUCCAGGUUUUAUCGAUCUCCUGAAGUCUUAUUAGGAAUACCUUAUGAUCUUGCGAUAGACAUGUGGAGUCUAGGAUGUAUUUUAGUUGAAAUGCAUACAGGAGAACCUUUAUUCAGUGGGGCCAACGAGGUCGAUCAAAUGAAUAAAAUCGUAGAAGUAUUAGGAAUGCCACCGAAACAUAUAUUGGACCAAGCGCACAAGGCGCGGAAAUACUUUGACAAAGUCCCCACGGAUGGCUCGUAUGUGCUGAAAAAGUCAAAGGAUGGUAAAAAGUACAAACCUCCUGGUACGAGACGCUUACAUGAUAUCUUAGGUGUCGAAAACGGAGGCCCUGGUGGUAGAAGGAUAGGUGAACCUGGUCAUUCAAUUUCUGAUUACCUCAAAUUUAAAGACUUGAUUCUGCGAAUGCUGGAUUUUGAUCCGAAAACAAGAGUGACGCCAUAUUAUGCACUUCAGCACAAUUUCUUUAAGCGAACAGCCGAUGAGGGGACCAACACGAAUAUUGCUGCUGCCAAUAGUGCUAACACGAGCCCAGCAGUAGUAUCGAUGAGCCAAGAUCAUGGACUGGUAACCAUGUCAGGACAGGGAAGUAACAACAGUGGCAAUCCGAUGCAAAUAUCAAGUCUCCCUGGUGGCUAUCAGCCUAUGGAGUGCGAUUCAUCGCCUCGUCAUUUAGGGAAUCGACGUGUCAUAACAACAAAUUAUUCGUCAACUUCAGCCACUGGGGUGUCUGCAUCCGGGCCGAUGUCCAUGCAAUCUGUAGACAGUUCCCUGAUACAAAGCUCUCUUGGAUCGUAUAAUAGCCUAAUUCUCCCUGGUAUAUCCCAUCUGCCUGCGAUGAUGACCUCACCAAUGAUUCAGCAGCAGAACUUUUACAAUUAUAGUUAUUCAACGACUGAUACGCACGGAAUAGUCAGACAACCGUCGACAGUCUCAACCGGUAAACAAAGAGAUCCGGAAAGAGAAGACAGUCCUAUGGUUGGAGUAUGCGUCCAGCAGAGUCCAGUUGCUAUUCACUGAAACGAAAAGAAAUAAAAAGAACUGCGACGACGGUCGAUACGUAUUGUCGUCACGAUAGCGGUACCGUCAAAAAUAUAUAUUAGAAGCCGACUGGUCUUACAUUGGGCACGGAUAUACUACGUCCGGCACAGAAGCUUAUGAUAUUUUGCUUAUGAGCACGGACAGACAAACAUGGUCUAGUGAGGAUGAACCCAGCUGGCCUCUCGGGUCCUGCCCGAUUCUGCAAACACUCCAAAUGCUUUAGUCGCGUGCAAACGUCGUUAACAAAUUUUGGCACCCAAAUUGUGUGGCCUAGAGAGCGAAAAAGUGAUAAUUACUAUUAUUAAAAAUGCAUUAACAAAAGAAAAAAUAAGAAUUACCAGUGUAAGCAUAUACUCCAAUAGAGUUUUAUACACAAUGUCACGAAUGUAAACAGUUUAGCAAGUAAUUGCUAGCAAACAGUCGCGUCAAAUGCUAGUUAUUUGUACAAUAUAUAUAGAUAAAUGAUAAGAGUGCAGCUUUAGAAUUUAGCUUUUAAGUGUGAAAGAGGAGGACACUGACAUUGUAAACUCGACUCUUUUAUUUACUUUGAUGAAUAGAAAAGAGGACGUUGCAAACGUCAGUUUGUUACUGAUAAAGAACUUUAAACAAACGAGGUUUGCAUGAUUUAACAACAAUACAUAUUUAUACAGAAGACAGUAAUAAGAAAGUUAAAAGGCAGUAUACACGUAAGAUUGAUCAAGAUUGAUAUAAUCAUACAAAAACCUAGAUACUUUAUAAUAAAUGAUACGCGCGUACUCAUACAUAUGUUUCUAAUGGCAGUCGUAAUUGAUUUUUGCCGUUUCACUUUGGUAAUUAUAAUGUUAUUUAUAUUAUAUUAAUAUAUCUUCGGCAUAAGUUUAUAACCGUUUUCUGGCAUUUUUUUUUUUCAAGUUUCGAUAAUUAUAUAUCGAUCAAUAAUUCUUCUAAUAAAUUUUUCGCAUCUUUUUUAUAUUUGAUUCUAGAGUAUAAAACUUAAAUACAUAAAUUUCUCAAUGCCAGAAUGCGAAAUAUUAAUAAACAUAAAUAAAUUGUGUCAAUAAUGGUAAGAUAAUAUGAAUGAAACACGAUGAAUAAUGUACAUUUUCGAUACUUAUUAAUAACAUAUAUUGCAACAAAUAAUUCUUGAGAUAAUUUGCAUGUUUCUAUUCUUUGUUGUGCGUAUACAUAAAACAGAUUAAUUUUUAAAAUUAUUUUAUGAUAUUUUAUUGACCGUUUUGUAUUAUUUUAUAUAAAUGAAAUAUAAAUUCAAUGAUAAAUAUAAAUAUUUUAUUGUAUGCAAUAUGAUGUCAGCUUUUUAUUGGAUUAUUCGAAGCAUACGAUGACAUAAUUUUAGCAUUGAUUAAUCAAAUUUUUAAUAUUCUGUUUUUAAUAACGCUUAUUGUGGGGAAAAGGGGAAUUUUUUCAUUUGUAAUAUUAUAAUUUACAUGACUUCAACAAUUAAAAUGUGAAAACAUUAAGAAUAUUUUUACGCAUUGUUUUCUAGAGAAAAAGUUUUGCUAUGUACCUCAAAAAAAAUUUCAAAUUUGUAUUAAUUUAUCUUUAUUUUUCAUUAUACGAAUUAUGAAUGAGAAUAGAAUGUUUGACGAGAAUUGCUUUAGAUAAGCUGUUUAGAAUUCUGCAUUUUUUAAAUAUUUGCAAUGUGAAGAUUUACUAAUAGAUGUAAUGACUCGCAAAACAACAUUCGUUCGAAUUCAUAGAUUUCUAAACUUUCGAGUAAUGAAAAACUUAUAUAUUAGUAUUUUUACUUCGCCCUAAUAUAUGACGAUCAUUGCUUAUGUUAUGUUAAUUUUAAAAAAUAUAACGAAGUUUUGUUUUAAGUAGAAUAAAUGAGAAAUGACAAACGCAAUUGUGUAAAUUCGAUCUAAAAUUAUAAUUACUAACAACCAUGAAAUUAUUCAAAUUUUUAUUAAUGAAAAACAUUUGCCGUAAUGAUAUUUCUCAUAACUUUAUAAAAUAACUAUAUAACUUUAUAAAAAGAGUGUGAGAAAGAGAGAAUGAAAAAAGAAAAUAAAAGAGUAUGAGAGAGAGGGAAUGAAAGAUAAAAAAAAAAAGAGAGAAUAAUUUUUCAAACAGAAAACAUUGUUUGUUAGAUUUGAUCAUGAUUUUUUAUGACAAAUUCUGACAUUUGGAUGAUUUUGUUGAACGGCAAAAAUCAGUACGCUCUAUAAAUAUAGACAAAAUGUGUGAUAAACUCACGCAUGCCCUCUUCCGAAUUUUCGAUAUUACGUAUUGUGUUCAUUAGUCCUGCUUCUUUAUUUUUUUUUAUUUAUAUAUUUUAAUAUAGAAAAAAUUCAUUUUUAAUAAAAUCAUAGCAUGAAAAAUUGUAUUAUAAAACACAUUAUUUUUUUAAUUUUUUUUUUUUCUU